UACGUAGGGUGCAAGCGUUAAUCGGAAUUACUGGGCGUAAAGCGUGCGCAGGCGGUUAUGUAAGACAGAUGUGAAAUCCCCGGGCUCAACCUGGGAACUGCAUUUGUGACUGCAUAGCUAGAGUACGGUAGAGGGGGAUGGAAUUCCGCGUGUAGCAGUGAAAUGCGUAGAUAUGCGGAGGAACACCAAUGGCGAAGGCAAUCCCCUGGACCUGUACUGACGCUCAUGCACGAAAGCGUGGGGAGCAAACAGG
rnacentral:rRNA from 1 species